UACGAAGGUGGCAAGCGUUUGUUCGGAUUUACUGGGCGUACAGGGAGCGUAGGCGGUUGGAUAAGCCCUCCGUGAAAUCUCCAGGCUUAACCUGGAAAGUGCAGAGGGGACUGUUCAGCUAGAGGAUGGGAGAGGAGCGCGGAAUUCCCGGUGUAGCGGUAGAAAUGCGUAGAGAUCGGGGAGGAAGGCCGGUGGCGAAGGCGGCGCUCUGGAACAUUUCUGACGCUGAGGCUCGAAAGCGUGGGGAGCAAACAGGAUUAGAA
rnacentral:rRNA from 1 species